UAGCUUCUUCUUGUUCCCCCGGACGGCCAGACCCCACCACCGCGCGCGGUGGCCGCGCCCCCGCCGCCGUGGCCUCGGUCGCCCUCCGACGGACUCGGACUCGUAGUCUUCCUCGCCGACGGGCGACGGUGGCUGGCCUCCGCCACAGCGAGCGUGUAUCCACUUCCUCGCUACUCUCUUCGCGAUCCAGCAGAGCAACGCGGCGGGCUGAGUGCGGAGUUCGGGGAGGCGGGCGCAGGCGGUCAACAAGCACCUGACCAUCAGAGGCAAGGCAAGCAUUGCCGCCGCGGGCCCCCUUUUCUGGGCUGCGAAUGCGCCACGGGAGGCUGGAUGAGGCUGUCGACACGGCUCCACGCCUCCACCUAAUAAUCCGAGCAAGGAAUGCUACAGUAGGUGCGGAAUGCGGAUCAGACCUGAACUUGGUUAUUUUACGGGAUAAAAGUAUAUUAUUUCCAAGAUUGGUGAAUAAAGGGACAGGAUACAUGACUUAAGGGGAAAGACUACAUUAUUAAGCAAGCGAUCUUCCCAGAUAAGGGACAUGGAUUAACAUGACGACUAAUAAUUCUUGAUGCCAUGAUUCAACUACAAAUAGCCUACCGUUCUUAUGGAUCCAACUGUUUGCUCGACAACAUCACCUGCAUCACCAUAUGAUUUUUGGAAUGCAUCCUCGAGACAAUUCCCCCAGCAGCAAUAAACAGGGGUACAGUUGAAAGCAUGACAAGUGUUAGAAGCCAACCUUUCACAAAAGCAACCGCAAGUCCACCAAGGAAGGUGGUAACAAGCUGUGCAAACUUCCCUGCCUGAUAAGAAGGAAUGUGGCAAUAUGUCAGGGGAAAAAGAAAAUAAAGUGACCACUCCAAAGUGCACCUACUAGUUCACCAAAACAACAACAGGAUGUAAAUAUGCAUGUUGAACUACCAUGGGUGUAAGUAGAUUUUUUUUUUCUGCAGCAGAUAAAACCAUAAUGUAUUAUACAGUUACCUUGUCCCCAGUGGCUCCUUGAAUUAGAACAGU